rnacentral:rRNA from 1 species
UACGUAGGUGGCAAGCGUUGUCCGGAUUUACUGGGCGUAAAGCGCGUGCAGGCGGUUCGUUAAGUGCAGGGUGAAAGCUCCCGGCUCAACUGGGAGAGGUCCUUGCAUACUGGCGGACUUGAGGGAGGUAGAGGAGAGUGGAAUUCCCGGUGUAGUGGUGAUAUGCGUAGAUAUCGGGGGGAACACCAGUGGCGAAGGCGGCUCUCUGGGCCUUACCUGACGCUGAGACGCGAAAGCGUGGGGAGCGAACCGG